AUACGUAGGGUGCAAGCGUUAAUCGGCAUUACUGGGCGUAAAGCGUGCGCAGGCGGUUUUGUAAGACAGUGGUGAAAUCCCCGGGCUCAACCUGGGGACUGCCCAUGUGACGGUAAGGCUGGAGUGCGGGAGAGGGGGAGGGAAUUCCGCGUGUAGCAGGGAAAUGCGGAGAUAUGCGGAGGAACACCGAUGGCGAAGGCAAUCCCCUGGGCCUGCACUGACGCUCAUGCACGAAAGCGUGGGGAGCAAACAGGAUUAGAUACCCUGGUAGUCCACGCCCUAAACGAUGUCAACUGGUUGUUGGGGAUUUAUUUUCUCAGUAACGAAGCUAACGCGUGAAGUUGACCGCCUGGGGAGUACGGCCGCAAGGUUAAAACUCAAAUGAAUUGACGGGG
rnacentral:rRNA from 1 species